AGUGGGUGAGGGUCAGACCCUUGUCAAAUUGACCUGGAAUGCCCCAUAUACGAGUAUAUACCUAUGUGUGAUUCUCUCUAUCUAUUAGCGCGGGACGGCGCGCUCUAGGGGUUCGUUCACACAUUUAUCCUCCGUGACCAGUGAAGAAGCAUAGGCUAUGACAAGUGCCUAAACUGUUAUCUGAUUGGUAGAAACGGCGCUGUCACUUUUUGAACCCUUGGGCCUGAUGCUUUGGCACGUUGACUGAAGUAUAUUCUUCAGUCACGCCUAUAAGUUGCUUGCGAGUCGAAUGAGUUGGGUUGAGUUUAUAAGCCGGAAUAUCCGUGAUUACAUUGAGGUUAAGUUAUGUCGGAGCUCAUUGAUUUGGUUUGGUCAAAUGAACUUGCUUAUGUAUGGAGUGCGGAAGGGUGACAUUACUGACUUCAACCUCAUAUAUUUUUGACGCUUCUUUUCACAGACAGGAUCUUUCUUUGAGACACCCCAGAGUUGAUUUUAUUGUUUUGGAAACUGUUUGAAAUAGGAGAUUGGUUCGGAUGGCUCGGUUAACGGACCAAAAUGUGUCUGUGAGAGUAAAGGAUAUAUUGUAAAGAGAAGUAUAACAACUGACGUAAGAUAAGACAAUUAAUGCAAUUGGAAGAGUAAGAUUGGUGUUAUCACGCAGCGUGAGUAGGUCGGUAUUGGAAGAAUCUGUGAAGUAAAGAAAUAGUAUUAGUUCGUUGUUGGUUGAGGAGGUUCGUCUAGGGAUGUAGACACAAGUUAGUUAUUCUCCAAUGUAAGUAGACAAUAUCCAGGCUGUGAGGAAACAGUACAUAUAAUGCGUUUCAUGAAUGUAAUCGAACGAGUCGACUAGAGAAAAGAGCGCGAACUAGGCGCUGCGGACAAGAUUGCACGAACCAGGUGCAAUCUUGUACAGUGUGUGGAUUAAAUUCUCUCAAGAAGGUUGCACGAACGAGAUGCCUGAAAGGAUCUCAAGAAGGUUGCACGAACUAGGUGCCUUGAAUGAGUGCACGAACUAGGUGCGGUAAAGUAACAGAGCGUAUUCAGUAUCAACUUGUGAUUCAACCAAGGUAUGGGUGUUUGUACGAGUAAAUCUCAAUGCUGAACAAGCUCCGCUGUGGUCAGACUAGAACUGAGCGCUGCUCCGCGAUGGCGCUUUUGUAUGGGGUGGUUGGUCGUAUCAUGAAGCGUUCAGCAGUCGUUUGGUGACGUCACAAUUCUAAGAAUAGCGACAGACAGAUUAUCUGCUCCCUUGCCGGAUUAUACUCUUAGGUGCUCAUUCACUCAUUAUAGGCGAAAGUGAAUUCGACAGCGUAAAUCCAUACAUUCAGAAAGUUACCAGUAUGAAUCACAAAAAAAGAAAACAUGUAACUAAGGUUUUUCAAACAGACACUAUCGUACAUUACAAUUCAUGAAUAAAAAAAAAAGAACAACAUAUACAUCGGUAUGCGAUUGUUGCUGUUUUAACAGUUUUAAAAAAUUUAUAUUUUCCGACUUUUAAUGUACAAACAUAAACAUAACUCACUGUAAGAAAUCAUAUUCAAAUAGCAUCUUGAGAGCUGAUUAUUUUUCUUUUUCUUUUUGGAUUACACAUCUGAAUUAGUGUAAUAAAUAUUCUCUUAUGCGGUGUUAAGGGGUAUUAGACAUUCAAUUUAUAGUUGAAUUGUUCUUUCCAAUUGUUGUAAUUUGUAUAAAGAAAUUAAAUAAAUUUUUACAGUCAGGUUUUAUUGAAAUUACUCUGAUAAAACUGCUGAUGGAAGCCGAAAAUUCCAUGAAUUCACAAUUCAUGAUAUACCAAUGCAUUUUUAUAAAAAAUUUGUCAUUUUGCAACUUUGGAUUUGUUUAAAACUUUUUCUUAAAAGUUUUUGAAAGUUGCAAAAUACGGAAUUUCAUUUUAACGAUUUGUCAUGCUGAAACACUGUUUGCUAUUCACAUAUAUGACAAUACUUUGAUCAAUUAGAAUCAUUAUUCAACUAAUCAGAACUUUUCCAUUUGGUGAAAAUGCGGAAAUGUGAAAGAGAGAAGAUAAUUAUAUACUUUUCGUUCCUUCUCUACUUGUUUUUCGAUUUGCUAUAGAAUCUAUUAUUCUGAACUUCUGAAAACUUUAGAAAAUCAAGCUUUUCUACUGAAUCUUAAUUUCCUGUUUAUUCAUUUGGCGAUGUAAUAGAAUGAAUAAUCAUUGAAUCUAGAUUGGUUAAAGUGUAGGACUGAGGUUAGAAUAAUAGGGGAGCUGAUUGGCUGCCUUCCAAAAUUGCCUCGGCAAGAAGUUUUUCUUGGUUUGCCGCUACUUUUCAUGCCAGAAGAAGUUGUCUUGAUGGUAAAGAAAAAUAUUGCACGUCUGGUUGACUACCCGUCGAUUCGUAAGCAGCCCAGCGAAUCUUUCAAGAAAAUUUUUCAAGAACAUAGAGAUAAAUUGUACAAAGAGCAGGAAGUUUGCUUGAGAGAUGAGAGAAGGAAGCAGGUAGUCAAUCAGUGAACAUUUGACCAUUGAGUGUCAGUAAAAACUCGCAAUUUCUCCUUUUCUAAUAUGAAUUAUUGAUUUUUUCCGAAUUUAAAACCUAUUCAGGUGACAUUAGUGCUGGAUAAAAUAAUUGAGGGAAAGAAGAAAAAAAUCUAGGUGUUAUUGCAAGUAAAAAAAAAUUAUAUAAGCAGGAAGUCGAUGUUGACGCUCAUGCUUCUACGAUGAAAAUUACCAUCGAUCGCGAUGUUUUGUUGAAUGAGGAAAUGGCUAAACUACCAAAACUCGAACAAAAUGGUUGGUUCAAACUCAUACUGGUAAUAAUGAUAAAUAUCAGUGUCAUAUUAAACUGUCUCGCUAUGAUUUUGAUGUAGCUGGAAUGUAAGUUUUAACAUGAUUUACAUCUUUUUUGAUAUCGAUAGGUGUUUACUUGUUUUAUAUUUCAUUUUUUGCUGACAGCUUGUCCAUGGGCAGCUGAUGUAGAAGUAAAAAACUCAAAGUGAAAGCAUCCUUUUACACCCACAGAAGUUGUUUGAUACAAAGUGUACAAAGACCUGUGAGAAAAAGAAUUUUACGUAACCAGUGGCGAAAAAUUUAGUGGUGACUUUCUAGCAUAUCCAGGUAAAUUGUGUGAGAUAUGAAAGAAUCAAUACCAGCUUAUUUCCGCGAUGCGCCCCAUAGGGGCCCAUAAUUAUAGGCAAAUCAGGAUACAUAUCCACUCUGAGCAGCUCCGAGUAUCUGUGUAGCGACAUCAGCCGCGUGUUAACAAAAGAGCCCUGCAGCUGCUCAGCGUGGACUUGUACCUUGAUUUGCCUACAAUUAGGAAUCCCUACGGGGUACAUCAUGAAACUAACAUAUACAUAAUAUACUAUACAUAUACAUAAAUAUUUAGACAUUGAGGAUCAGACAAAAUUUCUCUACAAGUAAAUACCAUAAAUUUGAAACCAAUUGUCUAACAGAUUUUCUAACCUUAUUUGCAGUGCAUUCACAAAUAUACAGAUUGUAUCUUCUAGUUUAAAUUAAGCUUCACAAGUACGAUUAUUGCAACUUAUUAAUAAUAAUAAUGAGGAAUGUACCAGAUCGCAAAUCUUCCAGAUAAAACAAUAUUGUAUAUCCAGCAGCAAAAAUUCAUACUCAGCCAUCUUAUUGGCUGUGCUUCGUCCCGCGCGACGCGUUGCCAUUCUCUGUAAAUUCGGAAAGACUCUUCGGUGCGACAGGAAGAAUUUAUACAUAAAACAGAAAAACCGUUUGUCAUCACAAAAUGCAGAAAUGAUACUGUUUAUUAUGAAACAUAUGAAAAUUGUAAACUUUUUACAUUAAA
rnacentral:lncRNA from 1 species